UGAGGAAUAUUGCACAAUGGGGGGAACCCUGAUGCAGCAACGCCGCGUGAGCGAAGAAGGCCUUCGGGUCGUAAAGCUCUUUUCUGUGGGAUGAGACAAGGACAGUACCACAGGAAUAAGUCUCGGCUAACUACGUGCCAGCAGCCGCGGUAAAACGUAGGAGGCGAGCGUUAUCCGGAUUCACUGGGCGUAAAGGGCAAGUAGGCGGUAGGCAAAGUUGGCGUGACAAAUCUCGGCUUAACUGAGAGGGGUCGUUCAAAACUAGUCUACUGGAGGGCAGGAGAGGAAGGCGGAAUUCCGAGUGUAGCGGUGGAAUGCUCAGAUAUUCGGAAGAACACCAGUGGCGAAGGCGGCCUUCUGGCCUGCACCUGACGCUGAGAGGCGAAAGCUAGGGGAGCGAACGG
rnacentral:rRNA from 1 species